rnacentral:rRNA from 1 species
GACGAACGCUGGCGGCGUGCUUAACACAUGCAAGUCGAACGGAAAGGCCCUGCUUUUGUGGGGUGCUCGAGUGGCGAACGGGUGAGUAACACGUGAGUAACCUGCCCUUGACUUUGGGAUAACUUCAGGAAACUGGGGCUAAUACCGGAUAGGAGCUCCUGCUGCAUGGUGGGGGUUGGAAAGUUUCGGCGGUUGGGGAUGGACUCGCGGCUUAUCAGCUUGUUGGUGGGGUAGUGGCUUACCAAGGCCUUGACGGGUAGCCGGCCUGAGAGGGUGACCGGCCACAUUGGGACUGAGAUACGGCCCAGACUCCUACGGGAGGCAGCAGUGGGGAAUAUUGCACAAUGGGCGGAAGCCUGAUGCAGCAACGCCGCGUGCGGGAUGACGGCCUUCGGGUUGUAAACCGCUUUCGCCUGUGACGAAGCGUGAGUGACGGUAAUGGGUGAAGAAGCACCGGCUAACUACGUG